GGGUUGUGAGGUUAAGCGACUAAGCGUACACGGUGGAUGCCCUGGCAGUCAGAGGCGAUGAAGGACGUGCUAAUCUGCGAUAAGCGUCGGUAAGGUGAUAUGAACCGUUAUAACCGGCGAUUUCCGAAUGGGGAAACCCAGUGUGAUUCGUCACACUAUCAUUAACUGAAUCCAUAGGUUAAUGAGGCGAACCGGGGGAACUGAAACAUCUAAGUACCCCGAGGAAAAGAAAUCAACCGAGAUUCCCCCAGUAGCGGCGAGCGAACGGGGAGCAGCCCAGAGCCUGAAUCAGUGUGUGUGUUAGUGGAAGCGUCUGGAAAGGCGUGCGAUACAGGGUGACAGCCCCGUACACAAAAAUGCACAUGCUGUGAGCUCGAUGAGUAGGGCGGGACACGUGGUAUCCUGUCUGAAUAUGGGGGGACCAUCCUCCAAGGCUAAAUACUCCUGACUGACCGAUAGUGAACCAGUACCGUGAGGGAAAGGCGAAAAGAACCCCGGCGAGGGGAGUGAAAAAGAACCUGAAACCGUGUACGUACAAGCAGUGGGAGCACAGAGCAAUCUGUGUGACUGCGUACCUUUUGUAUAAUGGGUCAGCGACUUAUAUUCUGUAGCAAGGUUAACCGAAUAGGGGAGCCGAAGGGAAACCGAGUCUUAACUGGGCGUUAAGUUGCAGGGUAUAGACCCGAAACCCGGUGAUCUAGCCAUGGGCAGGUUGAAGGUUGGGUAACACUAACUGGAGGACCGAACCGACUAAUGUUGAAAAAUUAGCGGAUGACUUGUGGCUGGGGGUGAAAGGCCAAUCAAACCGGGAGAUAGCUGGUUCUCCCCGAAAGCUAUUUAGGUAGCGCCUCGUGAAUUCAUCUCCGGGGGUAGAGCACUGUUUCGGCAAGGGGGUCAUCCCGACUUACCAACCCGAUGCAAACUGCGAAUACCGGAGAAUGUUAUCACGGGAGACACACGGCGGGUGCUAACGUCCGUCGUGAAGAGGGAAACAACCCAGACCGCCAGCUAAGGUCCCAAAGUCAUGGUUAAGUGGGAAACGAUGUGGGAAGGCCCAGACAGCCAGGAUGUUGGCUUAGAAGCAGCCAUCAUUUAAAGAAAGCGUAAUAGCUCACUGGUCGAGUCGGCCUGCGCGGAAGAUGUAACGGGGCUAAACCAUGCACCGAAGCUGCGGCAGCGACACUAUGUGUUGUUGGGUAGGGGAGCGUUCUGUAAGCCUGUGAAGGUGUACUGUGAGGUAUGCUGGAGGUAUCAGAAGUGCGAAUGCUGACAUAAGUAACGAUAAAGCGGGUGAAAAGCCCGCUCGCCGGAAGACCAAGGGUUCCUGUCCAACGUUAAUCGGGGCAGGGUGAGUCGACCCCUAAGGCGAGGUCGAAAGGCGUAGUCGAUGGGAAACAGGUUAAUAUUCCUGUACUUGGUGUUACUGCGAAGGGGGGACGGAGAAGGCUAUGUUGGCCGGGCGACGGUUGUCCCGGUUUAAGCGUGUAGGCUGGUUUUCCAGGCAAAUCCGGAAAAUCAAGGCUGAGGCGUGAUGACGAGGCACUACGGUGCUGAAGCAACAAAUGCCCUGCUUCCAGGAAAAGCCUCUAAGCAUCAGGUAACAUCAAAUCGUACCCCAAACCGACACAGGUGGUCAGGUAGAGAAUACCAAGGCGCUUGAGAGAACUCGGGUGAAGGAACUAGGCAAAAUGGUGCCGUAACUUCGGGAGAAGGCACGCUGAUAUGUAGGUGAAGUCCCUCGCGGAUGGAGCUGAAAUCAGUCGAAGAUACCAGCUGGCUGCAACUGUUUAUUAAAAACACAGCACUGUGCAAACACGAAAGUGGACGUAUACGGUGUGACGCCUGCCCGGUGCCGGAAGGUUAAUUGAUGGGGUCAGCGCAAGCGAAGCUCUUGAUCGAAGCCCCGGUAAACGGCGGCCGUAACUAUAACGGUCCUAAGGUAGCGAAAUUCCUUGUCGGGUAAGUUCCGACCUGCACGAAUGGCGUAAUGAUGGCCAGGCUGUCUCCACCCGAGACUCAGUGAAAUUGAACUCGCUGUGAAGAUGCAGUGUACCCGCGGCAAGACGGAAAGACCCCGUGAACCUUUACUAUAGCUUGACACUGAACAUUGAGCCUUGAUGUGUAGGAUAGGUGGGAGGCUUUGAAGUGUGGACGCCAGUCUGCAUGGAGCCGACCUUGAAAUACCACCCUUUAAUGUUUGAUGUUCUAACGUUGACCCGUGAUCCGGGUUGCGGACAGUGUCUGGUGGGUAGUUUGACUGGGGCGGUCUCCUCCUAAAGAGUAACGGAGGAGCACGAAGGUUGGCUAAUCCUGGUCGGACAUCAGGAGGUUAGUGCAAUGGCAUAAGCCAGCUUGACUGCGAGCGUGACGGCGCGAGCAGGUGCGAAAGCAGGUCAUAGUGAUCCGGUGGUUCUGAAUGGAAGGGCCAUCGCUCAACGGAUAAAAGGUACUCCGGGGAUAACAGGCUGAUACCGCCCAAGAGUUCAUAUCGACGGCGGUGUUUGGCACCUCGAUGUCGGCUCAUCACAUCCUGGGGCUGAAGUAGGUCCCAAGGGUAUGGCUGUUCGCCAUUUAAAGUGGUACGCGAGCUGGGUUUAGAACGUCGUGAGACAGUUCGGUCCCUAUCUGCCGUGGGCGCUGGAGAACUGAGGGGGGCUGCUCCUAGUACGAGAGGACCGGAGUGGACGCAUCACUGGUGUUCGGGUUGUCAUGCCAAUGGCACUGCCCGGUAGCUAAAUGCGGAAGAGAUAAGUGCUGAAAGCAUCUAAGCACGAAACUUGCCCCGAGAUGAGUUCUCCCUGACUCCUUGAGAGUCCUGAAGGAACGUUGAAGACGACGACGUUGAUAGGCCGGGUGUGUAAGCGCAGCGAUGCGUUGAGCUAACCGGUACUAAUGAACCGUGAGGCUUAACCUUACAACGCCGAAG
rnacentral:rRNA from 1 species